rnacentral:lncRNA from 1 species
AGUGGAGGUGUGGGCAGUGGGGGUGACGGGGUAAGGAGUGGCCGCACAGCAGGGAAGACUUGGCUGGAAGAAUCCCAGGAAACCAGGCUUGAUGGUGAGCAUAACUAUGCCCUGGGCAGGCCUUGCUGGGUGGAUGGACGGUCACCGGGCCUGGCUGCUCUCUGACACACCCUUUCCUCUGGCGGUCAGCCCGAGUCACCCAGCUGAUCCGCGGCUUUGGUAGUUCCUGGAAGGCGUCAGUGGAGUCCCUGAGUCAGGAUGUAAUGCGGAGUUUUACCAACUUUCGAAAUGGAACCAGCAUCAUCCAGGGGGCGCUCACACAGCUGAUCCAGCUCUACCAUCGCUUCCACCGUGUGCUGUCCCAGCCUCAGCUCCGUGCCCUCCCUGCCAGGGCCGAACUCAUCAACAUCCAUCACCUCAUGGUGGAGCUGAAGAAACACAAGCCGAACUUCUGAUUCAGACCCCGGGGCCCGAAGCUCCCAUGGGCUCUGCAGUCACACAGUGUCUGUCACCUGGGACCCCUUUCCUGUUCCUGAUGUCUCUAAGGCUUUCACACACCUCACUCAGCCUCCAUUGCCAGGACUCUGCCUCAACAGAGUGUGCCCUCGGCCACUCCCUGGGCUUCUGAGGUGACCUUCAUAGCCCAGCCCAGCCCCCUCCUCUGCUGUUCACUCACAGCCUGUGAGCUCUCACCGCCCCAGUCCCUGACUGACACUCGGCUCUCAUGGCAGAGCGGUGCAGGCCACACUGCCCACGCUGCAGCUGAUCUUCAGGC